rnacentral:lncRNA from 1 species
AGAUAAAAUAAUGAAAAAUACUUCCCUAAACUGCUGGCAAAACUCUUAUUGUUUGUACCACUCUUGGAAAAGACUCUUGGGACGAGCAGAGGAAUCCUUGCUAUUGAUUGGCUGGUUAAAUAGAGGACUAUUAGCUUCAGACAGGCUAGAUUGAUUAUACAGCAGCAGCAGCGGGAGCUGGGACUCAGAGCUGAGUGAGCGUCAGGGUGAAAAGGAGAGAGAGAGAGAGGAGAGAGAGGAGAGAGAGAGAGAGAGAGAGAGAGAGAGAGAGGAGAGAGAGAGAGAGAAAGGGAGAGAGGCAAGGUGGGGAGAAAGCAGUGCACGUUCCAUAGCAUCACUGUGUGACUGCUGGUGCCGAUUAGGAUUAGCUUGCUUUCUCGCUUUCUCAGUCAACAACUUACUGAGAUGCCUUUUCUUUUACAAGAGGCUGUCAGCGCCGAGCCCCAGCAAGAAAUAAAAGACUUCACCUUGGAAUAGUUCAUCUCACUCCGGCAUCAUUAAAGAGGAUUUUGAAAAGAAAACAAAAAUCACAUCCUUCCCAGCCCCACUUUGUUCCAGGAUCGAACAGACACAGUUGCACGCUUCAGCAGAAUCAAGAUGAUCCCAACCCAGGGCUCCUUCAAUCAUUUUCUUGUUGCUCCCCCCUGCUAUUCCUUUGGACCAAUUACAUUUUUUGCCUCAAGAGAUGUGUGAAUACAGUCAAAGGCAAUUUAAAUGUGUAGAAUACCACUGAAUUUAAAGUAAUCUCCUAAGUGUAAGAGAGAAGAGGACAGUGGGAGAGAACCCUGGUGUUGACUGAGGAAUUUUCCCCAAAGAGGCUUUCAAAUUGGGAGAGACUAAGUUGCCAGAGUUUUUGAGUGGCUACUUAUCACACUAUGCAGGAAAGGAGGUGAACAUCAAGGCGAAGUGUUGUUCAGUUACAGAGAAAUGAAGAAAAUGACCAUGUUACAAAGUUUUGGCAUCUAAUAUUUUAUACCUUGUCUUCCACUUUUCCUCGUACUUACCUGCAUUCAUGAGUUGCGUGGAACAUUAACAGAAACUUUAAAUCUGAGAAGCUGUCAUGAUGCACCAUCAUUCACCCAAGCCCCUCACCACAGGCUUCUUUGGGCAAGCCUUGGGGCUGUGGAUUCAUUAAAAUAUUCUGUCAUUCUGCUUUCUCUUCUAUUCCCA